GAACAUUACUAAGACGAAGAAAACGAAGAAAAGAACCGACGGAGUUUUGAGUUCUUCGGCGGCUCUUUGUACAGCAGAAUAGGUGAACUGAUGACAAGGGUAUUGUUUACCCAAAAUUAAGAUAAUCAUGCAACCAGUGCAGCUGAAACUGACCAAGACUUCAUGAGCUGGACUCGGAAAGAAAUUGAAGGAGAACAGGUUAUUAGAAGUACAACUGACGCUGAUAAAGACGUUUGAGAUGAUGAUGACAGUGAUAGUGAUCACAGUGAUUGUGAACGCGAUGAUCUCGUCUAACAUGUAGUGAAAGUUAAUAUUGAACCCUAUUGUUUAUUUGAUGUUUUUCCUACUUUAUUUUAGGUUUGAUUGGAAGGAAUAUUAUUAGGCAAUUCAGACUUUGAAUGAACAUAUGCAGGUUAAUUUAAGUGAUGGGGAAUAAGAUACAGAACAUUCA